rnacentral:rRNA from 1 species
GACGAACCGUGCAAACGUUGUUCGGAAUCACUGGGCUUAAAGGGCGAGUAGGCGGCCAUCUAAGUCAGACGUGAAAUCCCCCGGCUUAACCUGGGAACUGCGUCUGAUACUGGACGGCUAGAGUAUGGGAGAGGGAUGUAGAAUUCCAGGUGUAGCGGUGAAAUGCGUAGAUAUCUGGAGGAAUACCGGUGGCGAAGGCGGCAUCCUGGACCAGUACUGACACUGAACCGCGAAAGCGAGGGGAGCAAACGGG